UACGUAGGGUGCGAGCGUUUGUCCGGAAUUAUUGGGCGUAAAAAGCUCGUAGGCGGUGUGUCACGUCGGCCGUGAAAACCUGCAGCUUAACUGUGGGCGUGCGGUCGAUACGGGCAUCACUGGAGUUCGGCAGGGGAGACUGGAAUUCCUGGUGUAGCGGUGAAAUGCGCAGAUAUCAGGAGGAACACCGGUGGCGAAGGCGGGUCUCUGGGCAGUAACUGACGCUGAGGAGCGAAAGCGUGGGGAGCGAACAGG
rnacentral:rRNA from 1 species